rfam:Heterocephalus glaber contig88985, whole genome shotgun sequence.
GGAUGUGAGGGCAGUCUGGCUGCGACAUUUGUCACCCUAUUGAUCUCCAGGGUUGAUCUGGCUGGCUAGGUGGGUGUCCCCUUCCUCCCUCACCGCUCCAUGUGCGUCCCUCCCAAAGCUGCGCACUCGGUCGAAGAGGACGACCACCCCUGAUAGAGAAGGACCGUUUCCUCGGUCAAGGGCAUACAAGUAGCUGCGCUCCCCUGCUAGAACCUCCAAACAAGCUCUCAAGGUCCAUCUGUAGAAUGGCCAAGGUGAGGACAUGCCAGCCAUGAGCUGAGAAUGGGUCAAACCUGCGUUUUUCU